UGUGAGUGAUUGCACAUGAGAGUCAGGUCUGUGGCAUCCAGAAACUGUGUGCUGGGGUUUCUGGGAGAUGUAGUGUGUUUAGAACAGGGGAGACAGUUUCCGCUGAUGACCAGAGGUGUAGAAGCUCUGACUUCUGACGCUAAGAUGUGGCCGGUGAUUUUAAGGACCCUCCAUGGUGUCCGGGCAACCCGAAAACCUGCCGACCCCAAACAGGUGCAUGUGACUGAGGCUUAAGACUUCUUGUAAUGAUUCAACUUCCUGUUGAUGUUCGAACUUAGGGAGACCCACCUGAAUAGAUACAGAAUUUCCUCAAACUCAUGAUUUAAUUCUUGGACAUGUUCACAAUGCUAAUCACAGUCUCGCUGCACACAAUAUUCCUCCAGACUGUAGGCGCACGUCUUAUGUAAACAUGUUUUUCAAUCGUUAUGACCUCCACUGGAAGAAAAAGAGCUACCUCUGUAGAAUCGUGCCUCCUCUCAUAUUCAAACAUAGGAGUCCACGCCGGCAUUUUUAUGAGAAGGCAUGCGGUGCGGCGUGUGUUGGUGUGCGAGAGUGAGAUGAUAGAGGCACUGUGACUCUGCCUGUGGGCAGCUGCCACCCCAUUGUAAAGGGAAGGGGGUGAACAAAAGGCCAGAUACCUGCUUUCCUCAAAAUGAAUUAUGAAAUGAAGCCAAGUCUGUAUUUUUGUCUGCACAACUGACAACAGAGGGCAAGGCCAAAAAACCUGAGGGAAGGGAGAAAAAGAAGCAGGCAUCACCCAGAAUGCUACGCAAAGUGAAAGAGAGCAGAAAAGUUAACAGUUUGGCUUUAAUAGAGCACAAAAAAACGUAAUUAUACAGAAGGUUUUUUCUUUUUGGCUGACACGGCUCAAUUAAAAUAACUGGAGAGAGCCAUUUAAAUCAGAUGAAAUAUUAAGUGUUUGAAGUCAGCCUACAAACAGCUUACUCGGUGAACACACUGAAUACUGAGCUGUCUUUUUAAAACAUAAUGACUGUGCUUGUGCCACAUUAUCUGCUUUAACCCUGUCUUUUCCGCUUCCCUUUAGCAGACAUCUUCAUCUCGUGUCUCAGCAGCUCCACAUCACACAACAUGGGGGAUUUGCUCUUGACUGGUUUUGCUGACGGUGCUGGAGCUGCAUUGCUUCUCAGCAGAAGAUUUUUCCCUCAGUAGACUGGACGAAAGAGAAAAGGUGAGGGAUACCUGGAUUCUACCCCUACCUCCACCCUGUCGUGGUGCUGUCUUCCUCUGCUUGUUGCGAGCAGGACCCCUUUUCUCCAAGCCGUCAAACUCGAUCCUCCAUCCCUUCUUAUGCUGGAAGCACGGUGACUCUGCCUGCGGGCAUGUGCCACCCCAUUGUAAAGGGAAAGGGGUGAACACAAGGCCUUUUGAAGCUUCAAAAGGUCUUUUAAAGCUUCACAGGAAAACAGCUUAGAGGAAACACGCCACUCAUCUGCACUUCUUCCAUUCACAAGCUCAUUUGAUCUUCCAGUAUUGUUCGUAAUAUUAUUUGACACAUUCUUGUGGGAUUUUUCUGCUGAUGGAGGACAUAUAUUAAAAAAAAUCAGGUUCAAAAUUGCAUUUUUUAGUAUUUCUUUAUUCAAAUCUUUGUGAAUCAGGAGCAGAUGAAAAAACUGCUGUUUGAAAAAGAUUGUGUUGUUAGGGCUGCUUGGUAAGAGGAAAACUUGCUAUAUGUCAUAUAAGAGAUCACAAUUGCAAAACAUAAAACAACGAAUUUUUUGUUAAGCUAGUUAUUAAAGUUAUCAUGCAUUUUUUGGUGCAAGUACCAAUUUUGGCAAGGAUGUACUCUGGGAUCCCUUCUUUCAGAAAAGAAUGUUAGCCAUGAGAAAAUCCAAGAUUUAAAAAUAUAUAUAAUAUACAUAAAAUAUAUCAUAGUAUUUUGUAGUUCCCCUUCAAGUUUAAAGGCUGUGUUUUGUUCAUUGACAGCCCAUAGUGAUGAGACUGAGGAUAACAGACAUUGAAUAUUUUUGCAACAAUUGAAUGAAUGGGCGCAGUCUUUACAAAGGCGACCAUUUUUGGAUUUUUCUUGUGGCUAACGAUGAGAUGUUAAGGUACAUCCAUGCCAAAUUUGGUGCUCAUACCACAAAAUGUAUGAUUUGUCCAAAAUAUGAAUGUCACCGGCUAGCUUACAUUAGCUUUACCACAUCAGUAUAAAGCUAUAGAAACAUCGGGCAUGUGACACAAAACUUGCAUUCUUGAACGCACAUUUAGCCCAUGGUGUUCAUACUGGACAAGCAGGGAGGGGUUUCCUCAAAGUUGCACAAACGUUGCAAAUCUUUCACAGCUUUAAGCCGAUAUUUAGAUUGUAUACUUCUAGCCGGGCACAAACCGCAAAUAUUUAUUUCUCCUCCAUGAUCAAUUUUCAAACGGUUGUCAGUUCCGUGAAUUGAAAGGGACGCCAUCCCCAAUGCAUUUUAUAUGCAUUGCCAUGGAGCCCAAAAUCGGUCGUAAAAACGUCAAUUUCUUCACUUCAACACAAGAGUUUUCAAUACAGAAACCCGAAACUCCAAUUUACCAUAGACUUUUCAUUAAAAAUGGUCCCUGGAUCACCGCGUUGCUGAAGAUGGUGUAAACGUAUCUCAACAGAAAAACAUCAGGAAAGUUUUACAUUUCAUUUUAAGGUAAAAUGAAUCUGAGUACUUAGGGGGUUAAAUUAAAAAUGACCCAUAUCUACAUAGAAGGCUCCGUCUGAUUGGUCAAACAAUGCACGGACGUUAAACAAUUUACUGUCAAACUCAAAGAAAAACUGUUCUUAAAUUAUAAGAUGGAUGAUUAAAAACUAUAAAAUAUUCAAUUAUUGACUGUGAAAUGUUGAUUGUGGAAUCAGAGAACAUAUUAAUAUGUGGGAUAUUGUGGAUAAGUAGAUAAAGGCAUAGGCUUAAAUAAGCAUUGGCUUCUGCCUAUCCCUUAUUCAAGCAUGUAUUUUUUGGAGUUCAGUCCAAGGUAGACUUUUUUUUUCUUCUAAGCAUUAAAGAUGAUGAAUGUAAUGAUACUUUUGUAUUGUUUAACAUGUGUUGCUAUCCCUGUUUGAAAUAAAUCUAGUUUGAAUCUAA